GCACUGAUGAAGUGUCUCACAAUAGGACGAAACGGCUGUUCAGUAC
rnacentral:hammerhead_ribozyme from 1 species